UACGGAGGGUGCAAGCGUUAUCCGGAUUCACUGGGCUUAAAGGGUGCGUAGGCGGGCAGGUAAGUCAGUGGUGAAAUCUCCGAGCUUAACUCGGAAACUGCCAUUGAUACUAUUUGUCUUGAAUAUUGUGGAGGUAAGCGGAAUAUGUCAUGUAGCGGUGAAAUGCUUAGAUAUGACAUAGAACACCAAUUGCGAAGGCAGCUUACUACGCAAUGAUUGACGCUGAGGCACGAAAGCGUGGGGAUCAAACAGG
rnacentral:rRNA from 1 species